CGCUUUUNGAAUUUUAUAAAAAGUAUAGUCUGCCCAAUGAUAAUUGAAUGGCCGCGGUAUUUUGACCGUGCGAAGGUAGCAUAAUAAUUAGUCUAUUAAUUGUAGACUGGAAUGAAUGGCUUUAUGAUUGAAAACUGUCUUUUUACUAAUAUUGAAUUUUAGUUUUAUGUGAAGACGCAUAGAUUUUAUAAAAAGACGAGAAGACCCUAUUAAGCUUUACAGAGAAAUAUUUUUAUAAGAACUUAAAAUAUUAUUUGUUAUGUUGGGGCGACAGAGAAUAUAACUUUCCUUUAUUUAUGAUAAUCUAAUUAAAAUUUACAUGAUCCGUAAUUUACGAUUUAGAGGACAAGUUACUAUAGGGAUAACAGCGUAAUUUCAUCGGAGAGUUCAUAUUGAUGAUGAGGGUUGCGACCUCGAUGUUGAAUUAGGAUACCUUUUAGGUGCAGCAGUUUAUUAAGGUAGUCUGUUCGACUAUUAAAAUCCUACA
rnacentral:rRNA from 1 species